rnacentral:rRNA from 1 species
UACGUAGGUGGCGAGCGUUGUCCGGAUUUAUUGGGUUUAAAGGGUGCGUAGGCGGCCCUGUAAGUCAGUGGUGAAAUAUCGCAGCUCAACUGUGAGGGUGCCAUUGAUACUGCAGGGCUUGAGUGAAUUUGAAGUAGGCGGAAUUGACGGUGUAGCGGUGAAAUGCUUAGAUAUCGUCAAGAACACCGAUAGUGAAGACAGCUUACUAAGCUUCAACUGACGCUGAUGCACGAAAGUGUGGGGAUCAAACAGG